rnacentral:rRNA from 1 species
AACGAACGCUGGCGGCGCGUUUUAAGCAUGCAAGUCGAGCGGCAAGGGCCUUCGGGCCCCUAGAGCGGCGGACGGGUGAGUAACACGUGGACAAUCUGCCCCCCGGACCGGGAUAGCCCAGGGAAACCUGGAUUAAUACCGGAUGAGAGCGUCGGCGCACAAGCGUCGGCGGGGAAAGGCGCUGCGGCGCCGCCGGGGGAUGAGUCCGCGGCCCAUUAGCUGGAUGGCGGGGUAAAGGCCCACCAUGGCGACGAUGGGUAGCCGGCCUGAGAGGGUGAUCGGCCACAUUGGAACUGAGACACGGUCCAGACUCCUACGGGAGGCAGCAGCUAAGAAUCUUCCGCAAUGGGCGAAAGCCUGACGGAGCGACGCCGCGUGAACGAUGAAGGCCGUGAGGUUGUAAAGUUCUUUUCGGGAGGGAGAACAACCGUGGCAGGGAAUGGCCGCGGGAUGACGUGAAUCCCGGAAUAAGCCCCGGCUAACUACGUGCCAGCAGCCGCGGUAACACGUAGGGGGCGAGCGUUGUUCGGAAUCAUUGGGCGUAAAGGGCGUGCAGGCGGCCCUGCAAGUCCGGCGUGAAAGACCCCGGCCCAACCGGGGGGACGCGCUGGAAACUGCAGGGCUUGAGUACAGGAGGGGAUGCCGGAAUUCCAGGUGUAGGGGUGAAAUCUUGUAGAUAUUCUGGAAGAACCCCAAUGGCGAAAGGCAGGCAUCUGGGCCAUGUAUUGACGCUGAGACGCGAAGUGCGGGGAGCAAACA